ACAACAUAAGCGCCAGUUGUGGAAUUGCAAUAUUGUAAAAGAACUGUGAUAUUAGCUUUUAAGUCGUGUUUCUAAUUUAGUGUGAAACCAAUAGAUCCCCUGAUGAAGUCACGCAAAAAGGGACGAAACGUUGGGAUUAAAAAGCAAUAAUUCUUAAUGUUUUAUUAGCUUGGAAAAUCUUAGGCCUUUGGACGGCUGCCAGACAAAUACAGACAAUCGCCAAAUGCUAAUUUUCAUUCUUUCUUCUCUCUCUGCUCAAACGCAGGGCCGGCAUCAACUAUUGUUUAUGCCUACUUAGAAUCAACUCUGAUACCUCAAAAUUUAAAUCAACGGACUUAUUGGGCAGAUCGUCGUAUCAUGUACCGACGGGUUCCAUCUCAUACAAAAAAAAUUAAACGGAGCAGAUUAUGCGCUUGGAACUGGUUUGGAACUGAGCCUCAGACACUCUGUCCCUAUUUUGUAGCCUUCGUUGUGUGUCGUUGAAUGACUUUUGUUCGUAUUAGGCCUUUCACUAGAAUGCUUCAAUUUUCGCAAUCAAUUAAAAGCCAAUUUUCGAGCGAAUGAAAUUAGCACUAGACUUUAUCCAGAACGAUAUCUAUAGGGCCGAAGCGACGUGUCCCUGGUAUAUCAAUAAUAGCUCCACUGUGACCUACACAGAAAAAAUAUCGACCUAAAUUUUACCGAUUAAACAUGGAAUUGACUUAUAAACAAACUUUUAAUUGCUUCAAUCGUUUUUGACAUUCAAACACGUUCUUUUUGUAGGCAUACGUUAAACAUAUUUUUAAUUUCUGCAUUCUGUAAUGCGAAGAAGUGCGAAUGAGCCAAAUAUAUGUCUAGUUUCUAUCAUAUACAAACACAUAGUGGCGUGGGUAGACAAAAAAAAAAUCAAGAAAAAUAGAAAGUGUGGUUUUUACUUAUAUCCUUAUAAAUAAUUUGUUAAAUAAUAAUUGUUAAGUUAAAACAAUAUAUUUUAAAACGUGUUAUGAUGAAAUAUUAUAAAACAGAAAAAUUAGGGUGUGAACAAAUGAGAAAGAUACAUUCCAAACGAAAUAAAUUUGAGGACAUGGCAGAAGGUAGACGUGUUAUUUAUAAAUAUUAUUUUGUUUAAACUUUGUUCAAUAAAAAAAAUUGUACAUUCAAUAAAAAAAUUUGCUAAAA